AUUGAACGCUGGCGGCAUGCCUUACACAUGCAAGUCGAACGGCAGCACGGGAGCAAUCCUGGUGGCGAGUGGCGAACGGGUGAGUAAUAUAUCGGAACGUGCCCAGUCGUGGGGAUAACGUAGCGAAAGCUACGCUAAUACCGCAUACGAUCUAUGGAUGAAAGCGGGGGAUCGCAAGACCUCGCGCGAUUGGAGCGGCCGAUAUCAGAUUAGGUAGUUGGUGAGGUAAAGGCUCACCAAGCCGACGAUCUGUAGCUGGUCUGAGAGGACGACCAGCCACACUGGGACUGAGACACGGCCCAGACUCCUACGGAGGCAGCAGUGGGAAUUUUGGACAAUGGGCGCAAGCCUGAUCCAGCAAUGCCGCGUGCAGGAUGAAGGCCUUCGGGUUGUAACUGCGUAUUGUACGGUAACGAAACGGU
rnacentral:rRNA from 1 species